AUGGAGCUUAAAAGGCCCAUGUUGUGUUUCGACGCCGCUGCUUCGCUUCUCCCGAAAAAAUAUUUCAUGUCCGAUCUCUUUGAUCUUCCACCAAGCCGAGAAACCAGACAACCAAAGAUGAUGGUGAAAACUAGCCUCCUGGCCAUUUUGGCGACCGUGCUGAUUGCCGAGUCCAGCGCAAAGGCCCUCGGCGGCCCGAAAGAGAGCGACUACUCGGGGAUCAACUUGCCAGGCUUCAAUUACUCUCACGACGUGGCCGGAUCAGUCAUCAACGUGACGGCGUCUUCAAUUUGGAUUGGUAAUUUGUACUGGCCUGAAUUCGGCGAGGGAACCUACGAGUCUGACGACGAUUGGUGGAACAUGACCUUCCCCCACUCCUACCCCGUAGCCUUGGUCGUUGUGCCAAACGCCGAAUUCCAAUACGUCGAAAACGAUGUGAACAAAACCGAAGAUGGCAUGGUCAUCGCAGACGCCAGCAAAAUCCAGUACACCCUCGACGUGACCGUGAAGAUGGACAACAGCGGCGAGUACCCCAGCAUCGAUUACUUCGAAUCCAAGAUCGUCGUCGACAGCGUGGAGCUGAGCAUCCUCAAGAAGGACAAGGAUGACGAGGACCGCCUGGAGGCCAUCCCCGAAGCCCUCCAGGAAUACCAGGAAGCGCUCGAACAACAACUGCGCGAAAAGCUCGCCCCGGCCUUGAACGAACAGAUCCACAGUGAUGAGGUAGAGAGCGCCGCUGGCGCCAAGCUCAGCCAGACCGCCCUCCGCCGCCACCUCAAGCGAGGACCCCUCAAACACGUCAAGCUCCCCAAAGCUCUCCGCUUCUAAUUUCCAAGCUCACAAUACUUUAGGUUAUAAAUUUGAUUGGUGCAAUAUGGUAAAUUUCGCUUAGACUAUGGAUGAAAAUGAAUUUAAUUUAAUAAAGCAUAACAGUUAACAUCGAAUUUUGCCUCCUUUUUCGUUUGAGUGGAGAUGUUGCAUGUGUGAGGAAUAUGGGAUUUGACUAUUGAUUAUUACGUAAAAGUUCGCAAGAAACACGACGGUGCCAUUGGUUUUCUCUGAAUUCAACUCCCAAGCUCAAAAAAAACCCUCAAGUUGACGCCAAAAUGGAGGGGAUAUCCUACGCUACCCUGAGAGCCCACCUUUACAUCAAGACAAACUCUCCAUGCAAAGAUAGGGAGCAAAUACAUUGACAGGGCUGCCACUUUAUUUGGGGACUCUAAAACUGAAAUCACGGCAACCCUGCUAAUGUAUUUGCUCCCUAUCUUCGCAUGGAGAGUUUGUGUUGAUGUAGAGGUGGACUCUCAAGAUAGCGAGGGAUAUCUUUUCCAUUUUGGCUUCAACUUGAGAGCUUUUUUUGAGCUUGGGAGUUGAUUUCAGAGAAAACCAGUGGCACCAUCGUGUUUCUCGUGAACUUUUACACAAGAAUCAACAGUCAAAUCGCAAAUUCCUCACACAUGCAACAUCUCCAUUUUCACCUCAGAAGUAGUAAUCCGCCAUGCUAAGGAAAAACGCCGUAUGAUCUUCAGGCGUUGCCAAAUUUCCAUUUAUAAAACACGAAGUUCCUGGUAAACUUAAAAGUGUUUUUCUUCCAAUUUUUCAGAUAAUUUUGUUUGCGAUUUCACCUAAAGUUCCUGAAAAUUUCCACGAAAAAUAUUUAGAACUUUCCUCGAAAAUAAACAGUUAAUUGAAGGAAAUUUGGCAACUCUCGAAUGUUCAUACGGCGGCCUUUCUUAGUACGGCAGUAAUGUGGUGCGGCACUCUUAAUGAUCAUCCCUUGAAACUAUGCAGAAUGUAGUAGGUUUCAACAAUCCUACCCGGAGCCGGAAAAUGAAAUAUUUUACAUCAAAUUUCAUUUUCCAGAAAAAAAAUCUCAUUUUCAAGAAAAAAAAUCUCAUUUUCCAUGGAAUUUCGACGAUCUUUCAGGCGCUGCGUAUGCAACCCGCAAAAAUUACCCGGGAAUUCAAUAGAAAACUUCGAAAUAUGACUGUUAUUUUUUUUCUUUUUAAAAAAGCAAAAAAAUUCGGAUUUUACUAAUAUUUUGUGACUCAUAGCACCCUGAGUUCAUUGCAGAAUUUCAAAUGCAAUUUCAUUAGAUUGAGUUUUAUAAAAUUUUGCAUCUCUGGUUCCACCUCGUCAGUCGUCAUGAGAAACUUCGCGCUAAAAACAAAGUUAGCUGAAAAACGCGUUGAAUUUAGUAGAACACGCAUCGGUUAUUGUCAACGUUUGCUUCCGCUUUAAGUUCAAUUUUCACCAGAGAUGAUACGAGUGCUUACAAUCCGGAAAUAUUAGCCAAAACCUCGGUUUAUUUACCGUUCAGCAUUAGUAAAUAAGUAUGCGAGGCAUUAUCCUUCGAUAUUUUGAAGUCAGAUACCAGUUUUUCUGGCCUUAAAAUUGUAAGUUUCAACGCCCCCACCCAUCGGCGGAUCCAGCAAAUUGGCAACAUUGUCUAUUAUCCAUUUAAACCUAUGGAAAUGUAUCGAUUCUUGGGGGGCCAGGUGCCCCCCCAAGAAUCGAUUAUUUAACAUAGGUUUAAAUGGAGGGAAUCCGUUGUUGCCAAAUUGCUGGUUCCGCCCCUGCGCCCACCUAGUGACUAUGCUAAACGUAAAAAAAGGGUUUGUACAAAUGAGAAGCUUCACAAGGUUAAACAAACCUAAGCAGUAAGAUGGAUUGAAAGUAAUGAAGUGCAUUGCUGCCGUGCUAAGAAAGAACGCCGUAUGAACCUUCAGGCGUUGCCAAAUUUCCUCCGGCAAAUCACUAAUUUUCAGAUUAGUUUUUAAAUAUUUGUCUGCCAAUUUCUCAGACAAUUUUGCUUGUAAUUUGAUCUAAAAUGUCUGAGAAUUUCAAGGAAAAAUAUUCACAAUUUUCCUCAAAAAUAAACAUUUUAUCGUGGGAAAUUUGGCGACUCUCGAAUGUUCACACGGCGUUCUUCCUUAGCACGGCAGAUUAGUAAUCAAUUGUUCCCUUUAUUUAUUUCAAAUUUUGACCACUGAGACACUUCACACUUUGCGAAACAAUGAAAUCAGCACGGGGUCUUCCUAUAGGAAUGAGCUGUAUUAGGGACGACUGUGAAUGCGGUCCUCAAGCAGGGAAAACUUCAGCGAAAGAUAAUAAUUUAACGUGAUACAACUAUAUAAACGCUGGUGUAAGCCGGGUUGCGGCCACAAAUACGAAGGCGAUUUAAAAAGCCUCAGAAUAUACGGACAGGAAUUUACAUUGACUUCAAAAACUCCUCUAGUGACGAGAGCGCAGUUUCGAUUGAAACGUGAAAAUAACUUCCUGUACCCUUUAAAAAAGGGCUCUCGAAGUUCAAGGAAAGGGAUUGAGUUGAGACUUGACUUCGUGGCUACCUCAAAGAUCAUUCGAGGUUGGAAGCACGUUGUGCUUUUGAGUUUUUCGUCAAGUGAGAGCAAUAUCAUUUCCUAACUUUAAGUGAGGCGCGUCGCACCUUGCCGAGGAAACCAUGGAUAAAUAGUCGAGGCAAAAUAAAGAUCAAGUUAAAAUCGUAAUUUGAUUAGGGGGAAAAAAAAAACUGGUGGAGAAGAGGAAUAAAGUUUAGUAGAAGUUCAAUCUAGUUGCAAGGGAUAUGAUGUUAAUGUGCGGACAUCAUAUGUAGAUGGAUAUUAAUAAAUCGGUAAAGUUAGCGAAAGUUAGAAAGAAACAUCCUGGUGAGAAUAAAAUGUUGCCAAAUCAUGUAGGGAUAGAAACUGUAAUACAUUAGAUAUACUUAGGCUGGAAGGGACUACGUGCGCUGUGAAAAUUAUUAUAGUUUUACCUGACUUAAUAUUUUAAUAUUUUACAUGAAACUUAACGAAUUCAUUAUUAUAUCACUGAAAUCCAC
rnacentral:lncRNA from 1 species